rnacentral:lncRNA from 1 species
CUCUCUCUCUCAGUGAAGACGAUGGGGAUGGGGAAAAGAAGCCCAGAAGGAAAAAGUGACGGUGGAGAGGAUAAGGCGUUCGUUCGGGCCGAGGAGUUCCUGGAACGAACGAACGAGAAACAUGACGUGUCAAGCACAUGCUUCAAGAUCCACGCCAAUUGAUCUAACGGUACAGAACACGUUCGGAUCGAAACACAAAGCGCAGUGCGUUCGGAAGUUAUCAAUUCCGCAAAUUUCAGGUGAUUAGCCCUUCAAAUGAGUUUACGGGAAACAGAAUUGGCAAAAACUCCGUACCCAAUCCAAACAACCCCUAAUCCUAACCGUAUAUCGAUACUACUCAUCUAGCUAGCCUUGUAUAUACUCCCUCCAUCCCAAAAUUCUUAUAGGGUACAAGAAUUUUGGGACGGAGGGAGUAUAUAGAGACUCAAUCUACCUCGAGAUUUUUGCUUACCUCCAAUAUCGAACUUCACCGGCGUUGCCAAUCCAACAAAGCUACCAAUGCAUAACGCGGAGGGAGAGAGGAGAGCCGGCCGUGACAAGGUAAGAUUCGUGGGCACCCUCAUCCUGGUGCACCACAGAAUCCACUCCUGCUCGAUCUCCGCCCAUCCGGGCAAGCAUGGCUUGUUGCAGGGUCUCCUCACGCUGCACGCCACGCGCCAGUCGUCGGGCGUUACCACCAGAAGAUUCCGACCGUGCGUGUCGUCAUCGCAGCGGGGGACGCGGAGCAGGGGGCGCCGCGUGGUGGACGCGCGUCUGCGAGAGCGCUGCCCCCCCGGAUAUCGCCGGAAAGCAAGGAGUGAUGGGGGCAGGUGUGGGAGGCUCGCGAAGGCGCAGCCAGGCUGCAGG